rnacentral:rRNA from 1 species
UUUUAGGGUUUGGAUUCUGCUCAGGACGAACGGUGGCGGCGUGCUUAACACAUGCAAGUCGAACGAUGAAGCCCUUCGGGGUGGAUUAGUGGCGAACGGGUGAGUAACACGUGGGCAAUCUGCCCUUCACUCUGGGACAAGCCCUGGAAACGGGGUCUAAUACCGGAUACCACUCCUGCCUGCAUGGGCGGGGGUUGAAAGCUCCGGCGGUGAAGGAUGAGCCCGCGGCCUAUCAGCUUGUUGGUGGGGUAAUGGCCCACCAAGGCGACGACGGGUAGCCGGCCUGAGAGGGCGACCGGCCACACUGGGACUGAGACACGGCCCAGACUCCUACGGGAGGCAGCAGUGGGGAAUAUUGCACAAUGGGCGAAAGCCUGAUGCAGCGACGCCGCGUGAGGGAUGACGGCCUUCGGGUUGUAAACCUCUUUCAGCAGGGAAGAAGCGAAAGUGACGGUACCUGCAGAAGAAGCGCCGGCUAACUACGUGCCAGCAGCCGCGGUAAUACGUAGGGCGCAAGCGUUGUCCGGAAUUAUUGGGCGUAAAGAGCUCGUAGGCGGCUUGUCACGUCGGAUGUGAAAGCCCGAGGCUUAACCUCGGGUCUGCAUUCGAUACGGGCUAGCUAGAGUGUGGUAGGGGAGAUCGGAAUUCCUGGUGUAGCGGUGAAAUGCGCAGAUAUCAGGAGGAACACCGGUGGCGAAGGCGGAUCUCUGGGCCAUUACUGACGCUGAGGAGCGAAAGCGUGGGGAGCGAACAGGAUUAGAUACCCUGGUAGUCCACGCCGUAAACGUUGGGAACUAGGUGUUGGCGACAUUCCACGUCGUCGGUGCCGCAGCUAACGCAUUAAGUACCCCGCGCUGGGAUAUCGCCGACCGCU